GGCUGCAGUCAGAGUAAGGGGAGGAAGGAGGAUGAGGAGGAGGCAGGAAAUGCAGUUAUAAGUGUCUGGCCGUGAUGCUCCAGCCAUCUUGAGUACAAUGACCGGGCUGCAGUCAGAGUAAGGGGAGGAAGGAGGAUGAGGAGGAGGUUAGAGCACUGUUAGCUGUCUGGAGGAAUGCAUAAUUCUGCAGGAAGAAGGUCAAUGUGUUCUUCUGUUCUGCAGGAUGGAAGGAUGCUAAUAACAAAUUGCCAUUUACCAAUCAUCGAGGAUAUAAUUUUCUUAUCGACUGAACCCCUUCAAUACCUAAAGAUGGGAUCAAAAUCACAUGGGAAAUAGCACAGUCUUGGUUGUCUAUGUAUUCUGAUAUUUGUGUAGAUUAAUUUUAAUUAACAAAAGACUUACCUGAAACAAUUGGGAGGUAUCGGACUGUAAUUUAAAACAUUUCACUGUGUUGUACCUACUUCUGUUAAGUAAUGCUUAUUCUUUCCUUUAAUCCUCUUUGUG